rnacentral:rRNA from 1 species
AUUGAACGCUGGCGGCAGGCCUAACACAUGCAAGUCGAGCGGAUGAGGAAAGCUUGCUUUUCGAUUCAGCGGCGGACGGGUGAGUAAUGCCUAGGAAUCUGCCUGUUAGUGGGGGAUAACUCGGCGAAACUCGGGCUAAUACCGCAUACGUCCUACGGGAGAAAGUGGGGGAUCUUCGGACCUCACGCUAACAGAUGAGCCUAGGUCGGCUUAGCUAGUAGGUGAGGUAAUGGCUCACCUAGGCGACGAUCCGUAACUGGUCUGAGAGGAUGAUCAGUACCACUGGAACUGAGACACGGUCCAGAUUCCUACGGGAUUCCGCAGUGGGGAAUAUUGGACAAUGGGCGAAAGCCUGAACCAGCCAUGCCGCGUGUGUGAAGAAGGUCUUCGGAUUGUAAAGCACUUUAAGUUUGGAGGAAGGGUAUUAACCUAAUACGUGGGUACUUUGACGUUACCAACAGAAUAAGCACCGGCUAACUCUGUGCCAGCAGCCGCCGUAAAAC